CAACUUCAAACACGCUAAAUACUUAGAAGAUAUGUCUCUCUCUCUCUCUCUCUCUCUCUCUCUCUCUCUCUCUCUCUCUCUCUCUCUCUCUCUAUAUAUAUAUAUAUAUAUAUAGAUGGUUCAAGCAUUUUUGAUGUGAUGAGAUUCAAUGUCUUCAACCAUGUGAAGGAAAAAGUUGAGCAAGGUUCCUGGAUGUGGGGUAUCUUCCUUCAGCUUCUCAUAGUCGAGAGUCCAUGUAAUCAAACUUUCUUUGUCACCAAGAACAUCAACAUGGUAUAUGAUAGUGAAGGUCUUGUACAGCUCCAUGAGAUCUCCUUCAAUCAUCUUAAAUACGAUUGAUUUCUUUUCUUCAUUUAUGUCCUGAAUAAUCUCCUUUGCCACCCUAUCUUUCCCGUCUGUAAAAAUGAAAAUUAAAUCGAUUACAGACUCUCCAAUUCCUAGUCAACAUGCUGGUAAUCCAAAAACAAGGUUUGCGGAAUUCUUUCUUUUUGUUUUUUUGCGCAAAAAAGUAUGUUUUGAUUAGGAUAGACUAUACCAUUUACACAACCAGGGAAGUAUUCUCGUUGUGAAACACCAGGUAUAUAGCAAAAGAAAAAAAAUCAGUAGUAUUUAUUAAUUGAAUUCUUUACGAAGAUGGACUUCCUUAAUUAACCUUUGUUGUUUCCACAAUCAGAUUAUUGUCUUUGUAUAAAUACUAAUGAUAAUAUUAAUAAUAAGGUUAACGUAAUAGAUCUAGUCCGUUUUUCAUUAAAACUUUUCCCGAGGCAGAUAUUAAGCUUUUAUCCUUUCUUUUUCUGGCAAAUAAGUUAGAUAACUAGUUGUAUGCCAGUUCAAAGCAGGUAAAAACAGAUGGAGAGAGUUUAAAUCAACUUAGUCCAGAAGCUGACUAACAUGCAACAAAAGCUAAAUGAAUAAAGGAAAAACAAGAAAAACUGCGAGAGAAGAAAGAGCCAAAAUAAGGAACUUGAAUAUUGAUUUCAUACCAUGGGUAUAAUGCCAGCAGAUUUUGGAUCCAACAGUUCCAAGAUCACCACCAAGCAAAGUAAACCCUUGAACUUUCUCAGGAGUUAUGGUGGCAAGAUCAUGUGGUCUUUUGCUUAAGACAUCGUGGAACACAUCUCCUGCAGGGCCAUGGAUGUUAGUUGACCAAUCAUUUUACCUUUGAGCCCCAUUUUUUUUCUGAGAAACUGAGAAGGAAAUGACCAAAUACUGCUGCAGCAAAAAAAUGCAAAGAAAUAUGGUCUACUAGACUAUCCCUUUGCUCCUUAUAUAGUAUAGAACUGAUGGGUGACUUCACCCCCCACCUCCACCCCCACCCUUUCUUUUUUUCAAUUGGGGUCUAUAAACCACGUAAGAGGAACCAAUUAUCUUCGCUAGCAACUAUCUUUUUUUUCCCUAGUUCUGCCAUUGUUACAAAGUUUUUUUUUUUAAUUCAUGAGAUGUUGUAUUGGUAAAUCAGCCCUAAUAAAUGAUACUCAGCAUCUAUUAAAAUGUGAUUAUCCUCAUUGUCUAUUAAUCUAUAAUCAUAUUACAUCUAUAGUUUUGCACUUAGGGUCAACAGACUCGACGCCAUUCAUUUUUUUAAUGCCUACAACUAAGGUUUUCUUGUGGGCAACUUAAAUUUUAUUUUGAUCGAUAUUUCUUAGUCUCAUUUUUGCUUUACGACAAGAACAUUGGAUAAAAUAAGGGCCAUCCUUAACAAAUUAUUUUGGAGAGAUCUACUUCUCGUGUCCAUGGCAAAAAUGACUCUCCAAUAAUGACUCUUAGAAGUUAGUUGACACAAUAAAUGAUAUAAAUUCAUGAGUUUUGGACAGCUGGUAAGUAGACUGUUAAUGUCAAUAAGAGAUCGCAAGUUCGACUCCUGUACGUGACACCUUGAAAAACUCUGGUAAGAUGGUCACCCCCAAAUAAAAGUUGGACUUUAUGGAUGCUCCUUGGACCGAAUCCGGGUUAGACUCACUAAGAGUGGGGAUAUCAGGUGCUCAAAACAAAAUAAAUAAAGGGUAAAAAAUAAAUAAGCCCCCUGUGGUAAACCUAAUAUACAGAAAAACCUCCCAUGGUUUCAAAUUAUAUAACACGACCCCUCUAAAUUGUAAAGAUGACGGAAUCCGUUAAACUUAACGGAAAUAGACAAAAUGACCAAAAUGCCGUGAUAUAAUUAAGCCAAAGACAGCUCAAAAAAAUCAUUUGUUUUAUUCUCUAAAUAGAGAGAAUUGAGGGUUAAGGGGUAGAAUAGGUAUAUUUGAUAAAAAUUAGGUAUAAAUUUUUUUUUAGGUUUCAAUAAGUCAUUUCCGUUAAGUUUAACAGAUUCCGUCACCUUUACAAUUUAGCUCAAAGUAUGAGGUGCCGUAUUGUAUAUUUUGAAACCAUAGGGGGCUUUUCUGUGUAUUAGACUUACCACAGGGGGUUUUUUUGUUUUUUACCCAUAAAUAAAUGAUAUCCUCUUCUUACAUGGUUUUUGGUAGGUGGCAUACUAUUACCAAAUGGGAAAUAAAUGGAUAAGUUAAGGCCUUAUCUGAAUUACAGUUUUCUAAAGAAAAUUUUUGACGUUUUACAUAAACACAUUUAUGAAUCAUAUUUUAAUUUCACAUAUAUCAAAUUGUUGUAGCAUAUUUUUUUUGAGAAAAAAGUUUUGACGGCUCUCCAACUCUUUUUCAAGUUAAGUUUUGGCCCUUCAACAAUUAACAGUAAAGUUUUGGUUCUCGAUCUAAUAAAAGAGUAUAUUUGUGGCCCUUCUGUCAAAUCCAGAUAGUAUAGGGAUGGGCAAAAAAACCUGUUGAACCGAAAAUUCAGCGAACUCGAUGCAAUGCGAUCCGAUUUUUCUUAGCAGGGCAAAUAAGGGUCGGGUACCCGUGAAAAAUGGAUACGGAUACAGAUCAGAAAAAUAAAAACUCGUGGGUACCUGAUCCGCAGGGUAUAUUAUAUAAAUAUUAAAAAAUUAGAAAUCAUUUUAUAAUUUUAUAAUUUUUAAUCCUAAAUGUAAAUGAAGUGCCUCACAGCCUUAUAUUCUAAUAUCAUAUGAUCUGCCUCUCCUCAUAUUGUUUGAACAAAGCAAAUAUUCUCGGUGAAACCUAAAUCAAAUGAACAAAAUGAAGAAAAAUUUGUGAAAAUCUAUCAUAAAAAUUGCUCAUCCCUUUGAUUCUUUUCAUUUUUAGUCUACCUCCAUUGAUCUUUCCUGCAAAUUUUUUAUCAAUUCAAUCAAAGAUUUGUGUUUGGAGUUCUAAUUUUCUAUUAGCUAGAUGAUUAAAACAUUUGUGUCUUUCAUUUAUUUAUUUGAUUUAUUUUAUUGUAAUUAUGUCUCUUAAAUUUGUCUCUUUUAUUUUAGUGCAAGAAAGUUAUUUUUCUUUUUUAUCACCUUUAAUGCCAUAAGGUUUAUUCCAAAGAUGUAAGGAAAUUGGGAAGGAUUUUUCAAACUUGUUACUAAAAAGUGUAAAAUGAUCUCAAUUAAUUAAGCAAUGCAUCACUCAUGAUUUCAAUUUGAAGUUGAAAUUCCAAUGCAUCACUCACUAAGCAAUACAUAGUUGAAAUUUGAAGUUGGCUACAAUGAAUUACUUUCACUCAAUUAUCACACACACACAAAGAGAUAAUCAAGUAUAUGCUGGCUAUUAGAUAAAAAUUAAUUAGUUGGGCUGGCUGCCUUUGAUGACUAUCAAUAGAAGAUACACUAUCAUUGGAUACGCUCCCGCAAGCUGAAGUCAAGUCAGUCACAAUAAAAAAGAAGCCCGUCCCUAAAGUUUUAAUCAAAAUACAUUUCAUCCUUAUAGUUCUAUAGUUUUGAUCAAUUUCAUCCCUAAAAUUUCAUGUGAACAUAUUUUAUCCUCAUAGUUUCAUAAAAUUGACCAAUUGAGGACAAUUGAAUGAUUGUUAACCAAUUUGGACCAAGUAUCAUACAUAACUAGCAUGUCCCAUUGAUAAUUGUAUCAAUACUUAAUUCGAUUAUUGAUUAAAUUAUAUAAAUAACAAUGAGUGUGUUCGGAUAAAAGAUUAUUAUUUUUAAAUAUGUGAUAUAAUAUAUAUGAAAUAAAAAAAUAAAUUAGAUGAUAGACAGACAAUUUGAAAACGUGAAUAUAAUGCGACAAAACAAAAUUUUAGAAACAAAUGGCAAUCUAAACAGUUCUUUCUUUCACGUUAAUAUUUUUCUUCAUUUGAUUGCAAUGUAAUUGUUUGAAAGAUUUAUCCAAUUGGCUAUAAUGGAGUUAUUUCUUCUCCAUGACUUUAUUUCCUCUCAAUCUUUUUGUUCUAUUUGUGAUUAAGAAGAGAAUAAUGGUGGUUGAAAAUUUCUUAGUUUUUUUUAAAUAAAAAAGUGAAUUCAAAAAUAGUUUUUGAGGUUUUUUGUUGAUCCAACAUUUUCUGAAUUUUACUAACAUGCAUGUUGUGGUCAAGUGAUGAUAUUCCAUUCAAAUUGCUUGGCAAUCAAUCAAUUAUCCUUAAUUAGUCAAAUUUAUGAACUUAUGAGAAUGAAAUGUGUUUACAUGAAACGUUAAGAAUGAAAUUGGUCAAAAUUAUAAAAUUGUAAUGAUAAAAUGUGUUUUGACUGAAAUUUUGGGGACGAAAUUGCCUAACACCUCAAACAAUGAGGACGAAAAGUGCAUUUUUCCCUAAAAAUAAAAUGAACCUUCAUCCUUCCCCUUAUGUUUUUGGGCUACAGUCCUUUUUUGUUAUUACUGUGUUGAUAUUCAAGAUAACCGAACGUAUAUAGCUAGACAUGUUCCUUUUGAGGAAUCUAAGUUUUCCCCAUUCCUUGGUCCUUCUAUACUUGGUCCACCACCACGUAAAAAACAAACCAAUUCAAUCCACCUUGACUUGUUCUACCAAUUCAUGUUUUCAAAUUCAAUGGAUCCUACAUACAUUUUUAUCACAAACCGACUACUACUCUAACCCUUCUUGUCAAAGUCAAAUGAACUGACCCUAUGGUACUUCGUCACGUAACCAUCCAGAACAAAAACAAUACUACUUUAGCAAAACUUAUCUCUAAACCUUCUGUGGAGUCAUCUGAACUUAUCUCUAAAUUGAAAUAUGAAGUUAGCUGACAAUAAAUUACUUUCACUCAAUUAUUACUUAACAAAAUAAGUACAGUAUAUUGAAAAUCAAGAUGAGAAUGUGGGGUUGGGACAUCUACAUUUGCUUUCUGGUAUAGAGUCCAUUUCACCAUGUUCACAUCACCUUGGACAGUUGCCUGGAGAGUGGCUUUUACCAAAACACAGGUCUAAUUUUAAUUGAAAAAAAAAGUAAAUAUCAAAAUGGUGGAAUUAAAACAAGCAUGUAUAAGCUGGAAUCCAUCAACAAAAUUUAAAAAAAAAUGAAUAAAGAGAUUAAUUGGUUAAACUCACAUAGUAAUUUUCAAGGCCAUAAAACCAUGUUCAUCCUAGAUGGAGUCUGAUCAUUAAUCAUUUGGAGUACAAGACAGGCCAGUAUAAUUUCUUAUGUUUGGAUAGACUAGAUCUAUGUAGAUCACGUGAUUCAAAUUUUAUCAUACAAUCUCAGCAACUCAAGAAUUGAUGGUAUAGAAAAUUGUACCACAAGAUCAAGUCUAUCCAACUUUUUACCUCCUCGGUAAACUAUCAUUACUUAGUUUUAUGAGUAUCUUUUCCUUGCCAAGAAAACUAAUGAAAUGACUGAUUCUUUUUUUUUUUUUGGGUGUAAAGGCAACCACUUGAGUGAUUUCAGGAGAGACAAUGAUGACUUUAAGCUAUCAAAGUUUACUUUGCAGUAAAAAUGUAUGGCUCCAAAAAUUUUCUCACAGUCUUGUUAAAAGCUAUCAUAUAUAUGUCUGCUUUUAAUCCUACAGAUUAAUUACUGAGUAAUAGCUUUCUUGGCCCAUGACAAUAGGAACCGUCCGUCUUAGUGUCACAUAAUGCAGAUUCGUAAAACUUUAGCCCGACACCUAAGGGAGAUUCGCACUGAUAUUUCUAAGCUUAGGUAGGACCAAUAGGAGCCAAAAGAUGCCUCAGGCGCAUCAAAACUCGGUUUGGACCCCACCAAUUUACGCUAGAGCCCGUUGUGCAUUACAUCCAUGGGAGUUCGCCUUCCCCACCACAAUUUACAAGGACAGGACAGGAGCACCAAAAUUGGUCUUGUGUUUCGGCCCCAUCUCUCUACAGUAGAGUAGAAAGUCUUGUACGUGUAUCCAUGGGCCUGGUCCCGGGCCUUCCCUUCCCCACCACUAAUUAUACGAGAUUGGACAGCGACCACCGUAUAAAAUUUUUGUCCAUUGCUGAUUUUGGAGUUUCUGAAUAAAAAUGUAUUAUUAUAGUGAUUGGAUGCAUGCAAAAAGAUGGUUAGAAAAUUUGUUUACGGAAAAAAUAUAAUCUUUUUUUUUGGAAAAAUUACUUUUCAAAUGAUGCCUAGAGUCGGGUACAAACUACCCUCAAGGCAUACAAACUACCAAUCACAACUAUUAGAUUUAAGCCAUGCUUUUAUCUAUUGUCUGAGAGUAGUAAUUCUUAGGCCCUGUUUGGAAUCAAGUUUUUUGGCCAAGUUUUUUAGCUACUAGUUUUUUAACAACUUUAGCUACAGGAACCCAAAAAAACUUAUCAAAUUUUUUAACCUACACACUUUAAAAUAUCUAAUACACAAAAAACUUUCCAUUUUCUUCUUCUUUCUCCCCCACCCCUAUCCACCACACCUCCGCUGCCGGCCACCACCACCUCCACCGCUGUUUCCGGCGCCGGCCUACCCCUUUUUUUUCCUUCUCCCUCUCCCUCUCCCGGCCUCUCCCCCUCCCCCUCUCUUUCCCUCCCCUCCCCUCCCUGGCCACCCUCCCGCUUCCUCUCUGGUCGCACGCUACCACGAAAGACCGAAUUGGGCAAAAGGCUUCCGCUUCCUCUCUGGUCGCACGCUAUGCGAUCUGGUCGAACGAUCGAAUUGGGCAAAAAGGGAGGGGGGAAGGGGAGGGGAGGAGAGGGGGAGAGGGAGAUGGAGGAGAGGGGGAGAGAAAAAGCAAAAAAAAAAAUUGUAUUCUGCCAUGGCUGCUGGUUCUCCGCUUCGGGAGGGAGAGGGGGAUGGUGAAGGGGAGUAGAGGGGGAUAGGGGAGUAGAGGGGGAUAGGGGAGCAGAGAAGGAGAAGAGGGGAAGAAAAAAUGAAAAAAAAAAAUUGGGGAGAGGGGCUGUUGGUCGUCUGGUACCGCGAGGGAAGAGGGAGGGGGAAGGAAGGAAGAAGAAGAAGAAGAGGAGAGGAGAGAAAAGAAAAAGGAAAGAAAGAAAGAAAAAGAAAAAGAGAGAGAAAAAGAAAGAAAAGAAAAAAAAUGGAAGGGCCAUGGCUGCUGGGACUGAGAAGGCAGAGGUAACGGGGGAGGGAAGGGGGAGGGAGAAGGAAGAAGAAGAAGAAGAGAAAAAAGAAAAGAAAAAGGAAAGAAAGAAAAAGAAAGAGAAAGAGAAAGAAAAAAAAAGGAAAAAAAGUUUUUCGCUUUAAAAAAAUUUCUACAAAAAAGUUUUUCACCUUACAAAAACUUCUACAAUUUUUUCAAAAACUUCUACAGUGCACUACAGUAAAGUUUUAGACAAACUCCUAAAAAACUUAGGUUCCAAACAGGCCCUUAAUUUCAGCAUUAGUAGCAAAUGUAAAAACGAUUCCGCAGGUUAUACUUUGUGUGUUUGAAACACUUCUCUCUAAAACUCUUUCUCUCUCCCUUUUCUCUCUAAAACUCUUCCAAUCAAGAUCUUCUUCAUCUCUUUCACGGGAAAGAGAUCAAAUCUGAUUUUUUACCUCUGGGAGGAAGUACUCUUUAUACUUUUUAGUUUCUCUUGUUUAAAUAAAGGGAGAAUUGUAAUUUCAUCCAAUUUUGUAACGGAAUCCUAAUUGCGUGCAAUCACUUGCCUAGAUGUAGGAGCAUUUUAAAAUUUUUUUAACUCACAAAAUGCCGAUGACUUCCCUUUGGGAUUUCACUCCAAUUAUCCGAAAAUAAAAAAUAACCUGGGUUACACAAAGUCACAAACUUUCGUCGAUAUCCAUCUAAAGACUUUCGCCUCCGUCCUCUGCAGUUUGCUCACAUCCUUUCCAGGAAUCCCCUCUCUCUUCUCUCUGUCCUUUCCUUUUUCUUUUGUUUUCCCUUUCUAAAAGGACUCAAACUUCCUUUGCUCCGGUAAAUCCAUACAUGCUUUACCUUUUUCCCAGUUUUCCUUUUAUAGUCUUGGAUCUGCUUAGCUUUUCUGUUCCUUUUGUUUUUGAUACAAAUAUUGAGGCAAAUAAUAAGAGAAGCAAAAGACAAAUGUUUAUUGCUUUGUAAAACUCACACAACUUAUAACAUGAAAUUACUCUAUUUAUAGAGUUUAAAUCAACUCCACUAACUAUACCACUAACUCCACUCACUCCACUAGCAACUCCACUAGGUACUCCACUAAUCCCACUAGUUAUUCCACUAACUCCACUAAUUAGGUAGCAUAAACAAAUAUAAUUAAUUAACAACGGCAAAUAUUUCUAACAAUUCCUCCCUUAAACUGAAAGUUUAUCAAACAUUCAGUUUAAUAUGAUUUAUUAACUGCACAGACUCCAAGCAGCUUCCUUAAUUUCUGAAACGUGGAUAACUUCAAUGGCUUGGUCAUUAUAUCAGCAAUCUGAUCUUCACUUUUGCAGUAGAGAAAAUCAAUUAUUCCAUCCCUUGUGAGCUCCCUUAGAAAAUGAAACCUCACAUCUAUGUGUUUGGUUCUUUCAUGUAGAACUGGAUUUUUAGAGAGUUUGAUGGCAGAACUGUUGUCACAAUAAAUUGUAGUAGCUCCUUCUUGCUGAAAAUGCAACUCUUCAAGAAUAUUCCUUAACCAAAUUGCUUGACAGGCACAGGCGGUUGCAGCUACAUACUCAGCUUCAGUUGUUGAUAACGUAAUAAUUGGUUGCUUUUUUGAACACCAUGAAAUAGCUGCUGAACCCAUCAUGAACACAUAUCCAGACGUACUCUUUCUAUCAUCAGAAUCGCCUGCAUAGUCACUGUCAGUGAAACCAAACAAAUCUAAUUUUCCACCAUUCUUGUAAAAUAAUCCAUACUCAAUAGUUCCCUGCAAGUAUCGAAGAAUCCUCUUAGUAGCUAGAAGAUGUGUCUCCCUUGGAUUUUCCAUGUAUCUACUAAUAAGACUUACAGCAUGUAUAAUAUCAGGCCUAGUUGCUGUCAAAUACAUCAAACUUUCCACAAUUUGCUUGUAAAGGGUGCUAUCAACCCUCUUUCUCCUGGUUCUUUGAUGAGUUUUAAACCCACUUCAACUGGCGUACUAACAGAAUUACAAUUCGACAUUUGAAAUCUAUUCAGAAUUUUUUGCACAUAUUUUCUUUGAGAGACAAAAAUUCCAUCAGCAGAUUGCACCACUUCAAUACCCAAAAAAUAAUGCAUCUUUCCAAGAUCAGACAUAUCAAAUUCGGCCAUCAUAGAUUUCUUGAAUUUCUCAAACAUGGCACUAUCAUUCCCAGUAAAAAUAAGAUCAUCAACAUAUAAGCAAACAAUCAGCAAUUCCUCGCUUUGACAGUCACUGUGAUCAUUGGAGCAUGCUAAUGGAGAACUUCUUGAGAUCCAAAGAGUAUUGACAGAUUGUUGAAUCUGGAGUAGCAGAGCCAACAGCUGGAGAAAUAUUGUUAGAGGUGCAGAAAAUGGAGUUGGAAGCAUUGAAACUGAAAGAUUUUAAAGCCAAAAAUUAUCUUUUUCAAGCUAUUGAUCAGGCCAUUUUGGAGACAAUUCUUAGCUGGCUGCACAAAAUUGUCAGUGGCCAUCAUAAUUUACCAACACAAUUCUCACAACUCACUUUUGUUUUCACUCACAAGCCUAGCUCUAGUACCACUGAUACAAAUAUUGAGGCAAAUAAUAAGAGAAGCAAAGGACAAAUGUUUAUUGCUUUGUAAAACUCACACAACUUAUAACAUGAAAUUACUCUAUUUAUAGAGUUUAAAUCAAUUCCAGUAACUCCACUAACUAUGCCAAUAACUCCACUCACUCUACUAGCAACUCCACUAACUCCUCCACUAAUCCCACUAGUUGUUCCACUAACUCUACUAAUUAGGUAGCAUAAACAAAUAUAAUUAAUUAACAACGGUAAAUAUUUCUAACAGUUUUGGGUUUGAAGCGGAUGUAGCUUGAAUAUUAUACAGGAGGGGAAGGGAUCUGAGGUAUUUUUCCAUUUUUUGAGCCCGGAAUUAGGCCUCCAUGCGUGAUAUACUGUUUAUUUAUGGCUGCAGAGAUUUGUUUGUGAGUGAAACUGAUAUUUUUGUUCAUCCUUGAAAGUUUCUGAAUCUAAUGAUGUUUCCCAAAGGCAAAGUUAUACUUGGAUUUUGAUUUUGAUUUUAAAAUUUUGUGGUAGCUUGUCUAUUUAAGGUUAUGAAAAAAGAAUGCUAAACUCAUAGUUAGCUUCAGUUUCUAGAGCAUCAGCUUCACCUGAUUGGUGUUAGCUUUUCAUCUUAACGGAAGCAGGAGUUAUGACUAUGUUUCUUGCUGUUUUCUUUUGUUACUUUUUGUGAGAGAACGCAUCUUGGAAGAUGUAUGUUUAUGUUUAGCUUUUCAUAGAACCACAAUGUGUUUGAGAAAACCAUAUCUGAUUUUGUAGCAAAUUACCAAAACUAAAAAUCCUGAAAUUUCCUUCUGGUUUGAAUCGUCAAAGUAGAUUUCUUUACUCGGGGUCAAUGAUGAAAAUUCACUCAAUUAUCACUAAUAUAUGAUUAUGACCUUUCUUGGAUAUUAUUUACUUUUCAUGUUGGUUUUGUUUGUGCAGGAGGAUUUCCUAACUGACCAUGUUCAGAAACCUGAAAUUACUGAUUAUGCUAUCAUAAUUUAAGUCAUCUUCGGGUGCAAUGGAGAGUGAUUGCCUUACGGGUUCUUUUCGGCCCUGCAUAGACAAUGAAAUCAUGCAUAAAGCUUGGAGAUUAAUUCGAUGACGCAUCCCUGUUGCUUAUCCAACUCAAUUGAGUCAAGCUGAUCUUUUACACCGAGUUCUACCCGGAUAACAUACAUGUGUAAAAUGCAUAGCAACAGUAUGUCAAAAAUUGCUUCCCGAUUUAGAGUGAGUAAAGUUAUUGGGGGCUUACAAGCUGUAAUCUUUGAUGUUUGAAUGCGCCUUUGAGUUUGACGUAUCAAACUUGGAUAUUGCGGAGUAAUGAAUUAUGUUCCCUAUUUUUAUUUUCUUUUUCCUUCGAAAGGUCAUUGAUCUUCUUGCUUCUUUUUUCUGGAUAAUCAACCAUCUGAGAGUUCUUACCUUCUAAUAAUCUCCUUAGAAAAUUUUAUUUAGUCACUUCAAUGCAAAAGACAUAUGGCCUGAUAUGCACUCGACUUAACAAUAAUGAUAUCACAGAACAAUCCAUAAGGAAAUAAUAUUGCUCAAGAAGAAACCCCGCAUGCUCUCUUUGACAAUUUUUCCUUUUUCUAAAAUUUAUUUGCAUUUCCAUCAUAUGGUGAAGGGUGUAUUUCUAAUUUUUGUUUUCGUACAUCCCAAAGCAGGAAAAGAAAUUAAAGGACUUUGCUAUAGAUAAGUUUAUUAGGAUAGAAAAGAACAGAGAUGUGAAAAAAUGAAAAGAAGAGAAAAUGAGAGGAUAGAUUUUGACUUUUUAAAUAGUUUAUGAGUGCACGCGGCACAUUCCGUUACUCAAUUGGAAGGAAUAUGUCAAUUGUCCACUUUUAUGCAAAAUUGGAUAGAUGAGGGAUCAAAUUUACUGUUUGAAAUAGAUUGAGAUCCAGUUCCGUGCAUGGGUCCGUGCAUGGGUAAUACAUUGAGGAUUACAAUUACAAUUCUCCCUUAAAUAAAUUCUCUCCUAAAAUUUUCUAAUAAGAAAUUCUUCUCUUCUAGGAUCUCCUGGUGAGAGUUUCUUUUCUCCUAAAUUAUUCUAAUAAGAGUUUUAUUCUCUUCUGAAUUUUUUCUUGUGAGAGUUUUUUAGGUUUUUAUCUUUGCUAAAUUUGAGAUUUUAUAGAUCUAAAAUCUAGUUUUCCAUAUCCGCAAUUUCUCCAUUAUUGUCAGAUCUAAAUUUCUCUUUGGAUUUGAAUCAGUUUUAAUCCAUUAUUGUUAGAUAUAAAUUUUUCUUUGGACUUGAAUCAGUUUUAAUCAGAUAUGAUUGUCAAUAGACAUGCGCUUAUAUAUUGGAAUACAGUGAUUCAUCCGGAUGGAAGAUAUAUAGAAGCAUUAAUGUUAUUUUUAUUUGUAUUAUUUUCUUAAAUCUGUUAUAUCUAUUGAUUUUAGAUCUACAUGUAUCUGUGUCAUAUUUGUUUGAUGUAUUUUCUACCAUUAGUACAGAUUUAUUUGAAUGAAAUGAUCUUUUUUAUAUAAAAAAAAUUUCAGCAUUACUAAGGUAAUUGUAUUGUGUUUAAUCAACCUGUUUAUUUGCUUUUUCGUCUUUCACAUCUACUAACAUUUAUCAUUGCAAUCAUAUUUUACUUGUAAUAACGUGUAAAACAAAACCAUCGUAGUUAGCAAUUACUCCACUUCAUAUUUUAGUCCUUUUCAUGGUUUUACCCAAUUACUCAUAGUCAACACUGGUAGAGUUAGGCAUUAAUUUUAAAAAAUGUAUCAAGUUGUAUUCCGUUUUCUCUAUUGUCCAAUAAAAUGUCCUCACUAAUUAGUUUUCUUUUUCCAAUUCACUAUUAUCUGCGUAAAUGAAAAUAAUAUUAUUCGUCGUGGAAUCACAUUUUUUUAAGUGUAUUUAUGUUCUAUCAAUAUUCAGUGACAAAUACAAAUUUACAUCCAUUUGUCUCUUCUUUCAUUGUUAAUAUUCAAUAUGCGUCGUUCAAUCUCCAAUGCGCAAAUUUGAUAAAAUUAUAUAUUAUUUUAUUUCUUAUAUUCACUGAAUUAUAAACUGCCAAAUUUCUAAUAUAUUCUCUAUGUCUUCCAAUUCAAGAAAACCAUACCAUUUCUCCGAAAUACAAAGUUAUAUAUCAAUUAACAAUGUUUAACAGACACCCCAUUUAUGCAUUUUCCCUUAAAGGCUCUUCACUUAUUACACCUUUUUUAAUCUUACACUUUACUGCAAUGGCAUGACACGUUAUGAUGUUUCAUACAAUGACCCAAUUCAUUUUUAUCAACAAGAUGUGGGCAACAACUAUGCACUCGUAACUUUUGCCUAGCAAAAUGAACAUUGUAUAAUGUAAAGGGCUAUAUUACCAUUAUAUAUAUAUAUAUAUAUAUAUAUAUAUAUAUGUGUGUGUGUGUGUGUGUGUGUGUGUGUGUGUGUGUGUAGAACUCAAAUUUUGAAUGAUUUCUAAUAGUGCCAACACCUGCAAUUAAAAUCUUAUAAAUUCUCUUAAACUCUCUUGACUCUUAUAGAUACUCUUAACAAGAUUUAUCAACUAAUGUUUUAUUUAUAACCUCCUACACUUAUCGUGUAAGAAAUCACUUACACAAAAAAUUACCAAAUAAAGUAUAAAUUCCUAAAUUACGAUAACUACUAAAAACCUGAUUCUAAAUAAAACUACUAAAUAAUUAGAUAAAAACUUGUAGUCUUGAUUCAUUUGCCAGCAAAUCAAUCAUAUAGUAUUUGUUAGCUACUAAUUUUUUCAACCCAUAUCAAGUCUUUUACGUGCCACCAAUAAUAGCUCUUUUAUCGGCAUUGACCUAUUACCCAAUUUGAACUUCAUCCCUGCAAGAAGAACGACGAUCUAAUUUGGACAACAAAGAGCUCGGGGUGCUUGGGGGGAACCAGAAGAGAUGGGACCUUAUGGCCCUGCUCGCCAACUCAGUUGUCUUAGAGUUAAUUGCAAGAAAAUCUCGUCCAAAACGUGCACAUCGUGUUUUGCUUUGCCAUGUAAUCUUCUUCUUCUUCUUCUUCUUCUUCUUCUUCUUUUUUUUUUUUUUUUGUUUUUGCUUUGCUAUCUAACCUGAUUGUUCUGACACCAGAAAUAUUUGUAAAUUUAUUUCUUGCCCAUUUGAACAAACUUGAAAAUAUAAAAAAUGACCUCUUUUAGGGUCCGUUUGGCUGGGAGUAAAAUGUUUUCCUUGGGAAAAUAUUUUCCAUGGAAGUAAUUUUUCAGGAAAAUCAUUUCCCUUUCAUCAUUUUCAGGUGUUUGGUUAGCCUAUUGAAAAUAUUUUUUUACUUCAUUUUCUGGUGUUUGUUUAACUUUUGAAAUAUUUUCCAACUUUGAAAUAUUUUCACUUUUACCUCUGUCUUUACUUUCUACACAUUAUAACCACAUACUUCUUCCCAUGCAAAAUAAAAAAAUAUUUAUCUCAUUUUUUAACUUUAAAAAAACUUAAAGAAAUGUAUAUAUGGAUAAAAAAUUUCUCCUUAAGCAAUAAACAAAUUGCUAACCAUUCAUUGUCAAAUAUCAAUCACACGAAUGCUUAUUGUGACAUAUAUCUUACAGUCUCACUGCUAAAAGUUUCUCUAGAAAAGAAUGCCCCUAUUAUACAUAAUUAAUUGCUAGAAUAAGGUGAGUAGGGUGAGGCCUUUUUUUUUAUUUUUUAUUUUGAGCAUACUAUGGGCCUGUUUGAAACCUUGAUUUUUUACCAAGUUUGUAUAAAACUAAUUUUUUAACAACUUUUGCUACAGGAAUCCCAAAAAACUUAUCAAAGUUUUUAACCUACACACUUCAAAAAUACAUAAAAAACUUUCCCUUCAACUUUUCUUCUUUUUCCUCCCCCACCCAACCCACCACGUCCUUCGUUGCCGGCCACCACCUCCACCACCGCUGCCGCCGGCUAGGGGUGGCAAUUUUCGACACGACCUGAAAACACGACACGAAUCUAACACGAAAUUAAUGGGUUUGGGUUGAGGUUUCGGGAAUUCAGGUCAGAAUCGGGUUGAACCCGAAAAGAAAACAGGUCGAUUUCGGGUCAACCCGUGGUGACCCGAUAUGACCCGUUUAUGAAUUAAAAAUAAUUUAAUAAACAUAAAAAUAAUUUUAUCUGACUAAGCUAAGUUAUUCUUUUUUUCAAACGCAUUAAUUACUUAAUCCUAAAUGAAUUUAUUUAAUUUGUGUGAAGUUGAAAUUAUUAUAUUUGAACAAAUAAUAUAUUAUAUUAUUUUUUACUUUUAUACUGUUUUAAUUUAUUUUAUAUUUUGUUUGGGAUAAAACACUUUUACGGUGUUUAAUUUAUUUUAGAUUUGGCUUGAAAUUAUUUAUUUAAAUUUUUAUUACUUGAUUAUGUAAUUAGUUUUGUGAGAAAUUAAUUUUAUUAGAAAUUACAGUGAUAAAUUAAUAAAUUAAAAUUAAAUUUCGGGUCGACCUGUCAACCUGAAAUUUUCGGGUUCGGGUCAAUAUACCUGACCCGUCACCGGUUGGCGGGUUGGGUUCGGGUCAAUAGAUUUUUUGACGGGUCGGGUCAAACCCAACCCGCCAACCUGAUUUGGACCCGAAUUGCCACCCCUACCGCCGGCGGUCACUAUUCCGACAGCUAGUUCUGGCCUUCCUCUUUUUUUUUUCUCUCUCCCUCACCCCCUCUGCUCCUCUCCCCUCCCCCUUUUGACCGAUCUAUUGGUGCUCUUUUUCUUUUUUUUUUUUUCUUUCUCUCUCCCCCCUCCCUUCUUCGCCUCUGCCUCCCCCACCACCCUCCCCUUCCCCCUUUGACCGAUCUGGUCGCUCGACCAGAUUGCAAAGGGGGAGAGGAAGGGGGUUGCGAUCUGGUCAGCUAGGGGAGGGGGAAGGUAGCGGGGGAGGGAAGGGGAGGGGUAGCGGGGGAAGGAAGGGGAAGGGGAGAGGGAGAGGGAAAAGAGGGAUGGCGGGGAAGGUAGAGAGAGGGGUGGUAGGGGAGGGAGAGGGGAAGAGAAAAAAAGCAAAAAAAAAAAAGAAAAAAGAAUCACUUGUUAGUUGCUGCCAUGGAAGUCUCGGGAGAGAGAGCAGGGGAGGGAAAGGGGAGAGAGAAGAAGUGGGGAGGGAGGAAGGAAAAGAAAAAAGAAAGAAAAAAAAAUUCAUCUUACAAACACCCAAAGUUUUUCUACGACUUCUACAGUGAUCUACAUUAAAGUUUUAUACAAACACCCAAAAAACUCACCUUUUAAAUAGUCCCGAUCUUUGAAAGUUUGACAGAUACCUUUGUAGACACCAAAAUUUUAAUAAUCCCUUCUUAUUAUUUAUUUCAUUUUUAUUUUUACCUUUUUAUUCUCAUUUUUAAGGAAAUUUUAUUUAUUUGUUUGGUUAUGCAGGAAAAGAAAGAGAAGGCAGAAAAGAAAAGAAAAAAUAAAAAAAAAGGGAGGAUGCCUCACGCGCGCGUGCGCAUCAUCUUCCUGGUUUCGUACAGAAGCCAGGAACAAGUCUCAGGAAUUGCAGCCGGCCAUUUGAUCCAUUUCCACUCGUUUCUAUUGCAUUUUUUUCCCUCCAAGCCCUUCGGUACAAUGCCAACUCAUCCUAGUUGGAAUCUAUCAAGAAAUAUCCAGAUCAAAAGCCACCCGAUGGCUUCAAAAAUGCCACAAAAAAAAACCCAUUUCAUCUGCACCAUUGAAGCAAGGGUUUGGGAGGUGUUUUGUGCCUAUAAAAGGCUCAUAAACGCAGCCCUAAAGAAAGAGAACAAGGGAUAGGUGGCUGAAGGAAGAAAAAAACAGAAAAGAUAGAGAAACCAGAGAGAAGAAAGGAAAGAAAAUUUUCUGGAAAAUUCGAUACCGGGUUGAUCGAGCAGCCAUCUUUGGAUGUCAUUUUCUCUUUCUUUUUAGUUAUUUUUUCAUAUUAAUACUCUAUGGAGGUAGAUAAAGAAUUUUCGUGUUGAAGGUCUCUGGAGAAAACAACUUUAAAGCCAUGAAAUCCGACGCCAAAGUUGGAAGAAAACCAGCCCUGGUUCCGUCGUAAUUUUGUUGAAAAUUUUUCAAUCCGCUUCCACUAGCAUUUUCCGGGUUCCAGUUUGUUUCUAGAGCUUCACAAGGUAUUUUUAUAACCUCUAUUAGUUUGAUUCGACACUAAACUAAGAUAUUUGCACGAGUUUAUGGGAUUUUGCAUUUUUGUUGAUUUUUGGUUGAGAUUCCUUAUGUCUUGGAAAGCUGUUCUUUUGAUGGUUUAAAAAUUAGCUAAAAAAUAGCGUAGAAGAUGACUUGAUGUUUGCUUUUGAUAGAGUGGCCGAAUAACUUGUAGUUUUUGGUGUUUCCAUGGUUGGUUCCGUCGAAGUCAGUUUCAUGGCUUCUUUCUUGCAUUAUUAUCAUAUUUGCGCCUAUUUGAUCUUCAAAAAGGCUUUGUAUCGGAGUUUUUGGUUGUGUUAAUGAGUGGUAUAUUCUGUUGGAUUUUAGUUCACAAAUCAAUGGUUUUGUUUGAGCUCAUGCAUGAUUUUCCACGUAUAAAGCUGAUACUUUGCGAAGAAAAGUUGCAGAAGAUGAAAUGAAGAAGAAAGCCUCGGUUCUGAUUUGCAUGAAACUUUUAAAAACUACAUUUCGACCCCUAAAUUUUCACCUAAUUUCACUAUGACCUAAAAACUUCUACAAAUGAACCAUCUUGACCCCUUUUAAAUUUUAAUCAUCUUUUACAUAUUUUAAACAUGUUUGUGGGCGAAAUAAUUCUGGGUUUUAAGACAUUAUUAGGAUUAAAUAAUUUUUUUAGUUGAUUUAUUAUCCUAUUAGGUUUUGGUAAAAUAAGUGUGGUUUUGGGUUAAGGGUUAUUGUUUGGGUUUUGGUUAUGAAUUUUAGUUAUUUUGAUUGGGUUUUUUUUCGUUUGGGUUUCUUCGAGCAAAACUAUGGGUUGGCUUGUGUAUUCUGCCUCGGACUUUCGCUGGGCUUGGGGAGGUUUCAGCCCAACUAAAGCAAAAGAAAAUGAAAGAUAGCCCAAUGGCCCAAUUCCUUAAGAAACACUGAGAAUUGCAAUAUGGUCCCUGUACUCUUGUAUAAUUUUGUUUUGGCCCUAAAAACUUUAGUAUUCUUUUAAUUAGGUCUUUAAUUUAAUUGUGCUUUGGUACCUAAAUUUUUUUCUUUCAUUUUGACCUCUAUUUUUUGUAAUAAUUGAAUUUAACCCCAAAAAUUUCUUAAUUUUUGUAAUUAGGUCCCUAAUAGUUUUGAUUUCUUAAAUAUAAUUUACUUUUCUUCUUUAAUUAUAGAUUAUACUUCAUUUAAAUACUUUGAUUGGUAGAUUUCAUGAUAAUUUCCAUUUAUUUAUAAUUAAAUUAGUGUCUUAAUCAUUUUGUUCGUUUUGGAGUAUAAGUAGGGCAAAUUUCACCCUAUUUAAUCACCACUUCACGAGAGGUAACCUCUUUUAUUAUUUUAAACUCUUUCAUGUGCUCCAAUGUGUUUUUAUGUGUAAUUGCAGGUUUUGAAUGUUUUUUCUUUUAAUUAGUCAUUCUUAUUCAUUUUUAAGUUUUAUUUGUUUUAUUUAAUUUUGAUGAUUAUCUGAGAGGCAUUAAAAUGCCAAGUUGUAACAGAUAGGUGCUCAAGACAUGUAUUUUGCUAGUUUAUGCAAUAGAUAGGUUCUAAUUUUUGUUUAAAAUGUAUUUAGUUAGAUGAAUAUAAUAAUUAGGUUAUUUUUUUUUUGAAUUCCCCUUUAGAUUGUAGUUAGGGUCCGAAUGUAAUAGUUAGGCUUUUAUUUGCAUUUAUUUGUUUGGGUGCUUGCAUGCUUGUGUGUUUAUGUGUUUACUCAUUUUCAUUUGGGUUUUGUAUCUAGAAAUUAUGAUUAUGUGUUAUGUGCUCUAUGUGCAUUAUGUGUUUAUUUGUUUUAAUUAUGCUUUAUAUGAUUUAUUUAAUUAUAAUAAAUGCAUGACGUCACCACAUCAGUCCAACGCUAAUUGUGACCUUCCUUCGCGAUUUCUCACUAGUCCCACGCUAGUGAGAACUUAUAGACAUGGGUUAGUUAUUUAGUCCAAUGCGAGACUCUUAGGGACCGUCCACGCACUAUAUCAUGUUUUUGUGACAAUCACUACAUUUCAUGCAUAUUUUCUACUUUUUAGAAUCCCUACCAUUUGGCAUGAUAUUUCCUCUAUAUGUAUAUUCCUUAUCCCUAUGUGCGAAAUAGAACAUUUAGACUUGCGUUUCAUUUAAGAAACUUAGAAAUAUGUGAGAUCAUUUGCUUGAUUAGAUUAGGAGAGCACCCCUUCAAAUAUGGGAAAUGAACAAGUAUAGCUACUUAGUCUUAGCACGCUCGUGUCUCCUCUAUAAGAAAAAAAAUUGAGUUACAAAUCUUAGUCCCCCGUACUCAUUAUCAUGCAUUCCUUUAGCUCAUGUAUAUUUGUAUAUUAUUAUUUUUCUUUCUUUUCUUCGAGUCUCAUCUUUUGCAUAUUCGUAACCUUUUCAAAGAGUCACUCUUGGGCGUCUCAAUUAAUGCGCUUUGCGCCAAUUAAAUUUUGAAGAGAUAUUUCGACCAUCCCGAUAUCCAUUAGGUCUAGAUUUGCAUAGAUAUAGUAACAUAUAAAUGUGAUAAGUUUUAUAGGUUAAAUUAAAAAAUUUUUAACUAAAUCACACAACUAACCUUGACUAGAUUGAAAGGGUGUCAUAGAUCAAAUCUUUGUCUUCUCUUUCUUCAAUCGUGACUCCUGAACUUUUUUCUUUUGUUUUCAAAGACGUGGAGUCGUUUAAAGAGGGUUUUACCUAUUUUUUUAUUAAAAAAAUAUUUUUGGGUGAUUUGGUACACCUUAACUCAAUAUCAAGUGACGACUCCUAUUUUUUUAAACUAUUAUUUUGGGCCAAAAUCGUCGCACUUUUAAAGUCCCAUGUUAGGCUCUUUUUCUGCAUUUAUUCUCUAAAAAUCAAAAACUCAUUUUUACUCAAAAUUAAUCAAAAAUUCAUUUUUUAUAACACGUAAUUUUAUUUUUCAAAAAAAUGGGGCACGACAACCUUUAUCAGGCGGGACACAUACGUUUAGAAAAACAACUUUAGUAAGUUUGGAAGCGAAGUUGUUUUUUAUAAGAUGAGUGAAAAUCUUUUACACAGUAAAAUAUUUUCAGUAAUUUUGUGCAACCAAACAUGGGAAAUUAGGAAAUUAUUUUUCUCGAAAAGAUUUUCAACCGAACACAAACAGACCCUUAAUGCAGUAUCAAUUACUUCUGGAAAGCAACUUUGCUAUAUAAUGCAACCACCGAUACCCCAAGCACUAUUUAUUUGACCAAAUAACAAUCUUUUUUCUACACAUGCUUCAUGUCAUGGAAAAGUCUGCAAUAACGAUCGUUAUGAUAACGAAACUGUUUUUACCUGAUAUAACAGGUAGAAACAAUUUUAGUGACCAUUUGAUUACCUAUUGGACUGGUCACCUAAAUAAGAUAGUACCUAAAAAUUUGAUUAGUAAGUUUUACAUAAAAAAUAGUAAGUUAACUCGAUAAAUUAGUAACUUUUAUGUCUCAACAAGUAAAUUGGAAUAAAUAUGGAACUUACUUUUUUUUUAAAAUAAAUUACUACUCGAUAUCCAAAACUUACUUUUUGGAGAGUAAGUUUAGUUCAAGUAAUACUAAGUUUUUAUAGAUUAAUAGUAAAUAUUGUUGAUAGAAUAGUAAAUUUAGUUAGUGGUCAAAACCUACUAGUUUGUGGUAUAAAUUUACUAUUUUACUUAAAAAACUUAUAUGAAACAAGUAUUAGGAAGUUCAUUUGAAGUAAUGCUAAAAUUUUUUAUUAAUGAUUAAAACUUAGUAUUAUAGUUAGUAAUUACUCAUAAUGUAAAUAUAUGAUACACAAUUGUACGUAACAUUUAUAAAUGUUAUAUUGUUUAAGCAUUUUAACUAUACUAUGAAAACUAUUUUUUUUUGCACAUGACCUUUAAAAUAUGUAAGAAUAAUUUGUCAUAUUAUAAAUUUUGAAUUAUUUUUGAAUUUGUGAAAGGUUAGAAAGUUUGGAUGACAAUAACAACAAAUCUUUCAAGUUAUAUAUAGAAUUGCACUUAUCUAUACAUCACAAUUUUCAUAUAUUAAUACCUAUGAAUAUAAUAAAAUGGUAAAGUUUUAAUAAAUUUAUUUACUGGGUCACAAGUAUAAAAGUUAAAGUUGUAUUAUAAUAACAACAAAUCUUUCGAGUUGCAUAUAAAAUAGCACUUACUUAUACAACACAAUUUUCAUAUAUUAAUGCCUAUGAAUUUAAUAAAAUGGUAAGAUUUUAAUAAAUUUAUUUUCUGGGUCACAAGUAUAAUAAUUAAUGUUGUGUUAACAUAGCAUAAUUUUUGAAAAUUAUAAUAAAAUUACCCAUAUGUUAAGUUUUGUGACUUUCAAACAUACUUUGUAUCAUUUACAUUAUGGAUUUGUAUCCAUAUUUUUCUAUCAAACUCUUUUUCAUUGGCAAAUGGUAUAUAAAUUAUUAUAAAAUGUCAUUUUAUAAUAAUCAUAAUUUUUUAUAGAUGAAUGUUAUGCAAACUGUUAAAAUUAUCAAUUCACAAAUGGCUAAAUCUUACUACUUAUGGCAUAUAUUAGUCUAAUUGACUAAAAAAAUACUGUAAUCAUGUAUACGUUGAUUGUUGAAUUGAAAUUUCGUUUAUUACUAGUACAAGUUCUUCUAAUCAAAGCAAAAUAAAAUCAAAUAUCUUUCCCUUUUGUAUGUAGUAGUUAUGUUUAGUAGAAAAUUAUUAAACCAUUUUUACAAUACAUAAUUUCUCCUAAAAUUAGUAAUAUUUUCCAUGACCUCUAACCUUAUCAAUAAUACUAACGACCGACAUGUAGAUAAUCUUAAAAGCAAAAGCCAUCAUUAUGACAAAAAAAGAAUAUUUUCAUGCUGAAUAAACAAAAUUGUAAUUCUAUAUAGAAUCGAAGAAAUUCAUCAUGAAUGAAAAUGAAUUGCAAAGUUAUUACAUUUCUAAUUUCAUAUGUAUCUAGAAUUUCACGCAGCAUUACUUUAGAGGAACUUUCCUUUUUCACACUAAGGAACCAAUCUCAAUCUCUUCGUCUCUUUUAUUUUUUCUUUAACCAUUAAAAUACUAAAUAAAUUUAAUUCCAUUUCAAGCUCUAGUUAAUUGUAUACUAAUAUUUUACACAACAAUCAAUUGAGCACCAAUUUCCUUUUUUUAAGUAGCUAUUAUUUAUUUUAUUACUUUGGUUAAAUAUUUACAUAUAAAAUAAUAACAAUAGAAUGCCAAUCCUCGGAUCAAUGAAACUUCAAUUAUUGUUAAUAAAAAUAAUUUUACAUUGAUAAAAAUUAGUCUACAGAAUGAAAAGUCAAUGGCAACAAUUGCUAAAAUAUAGCAAUUUUUAAUUGUGGGAAAAUAAACAACUAAGUUCCCAAAAUAUUUCACUUUUAUUGUUUAAAAAAUCUCAACUUGUUAACUAAAUUCAAAAUAAUUCUAUUGUCAAAAAUAUUUCUCCUCAAAUUAACUUUAAUGAUUAGAGAUGAGAUACAAAUAUGGCAAAAUAUCGCUCAUACGUGUGUCAUGGAUAUUUGAGACUUUUAGUAAAAAACUUUUUGUUGUUAAAAUAACAUUGUAUCAUAGUGUACUAAUUAUUUUAGAACCAUUUUUAUACGUGAACUAAAUUUAAUUUAAAUUAUACAAUAUAUUAUAUAUGCAUGUGAUUUUCAUUUAUAAUUGUUGGAUCCUAUUUUUUAUGAACAAUCUCCCAAGGAAAAAAGUUCAGAUCAUACUGAUUUUCUUAUAUUAAUUGUUAUACUAAUUUUGUCAUUUUUAUUGUUAUAUUAUUUCUCAUUUUGUUUGGGCUUUAGCUCUUAUUAUUUCUUGUGUCCCAGGUCUAAAUUCAUUAAAACUUUAUCAUCUUAUUAUAUUCAUAAGUGUUAAAUUAUAAAAAUUGUGAUAUAUAAAUAAGUGAUAUUCUAUAUAUAACUAGGAAGAUUUGUUAUUAUUGUUAUUCAAACUUUUCAGAAAUUGAAAAUGAUUAAAAACUUAUAAUACGACAAAAUUUUAUUACAUAUUUUACGAGACUAUGUGAAAAGUCAAAUUAUUUUUCAUAGUAUUUUAAAAUAUAUAAAUUCAAAAUUUUUUUAAAUUAUACUUAUAAUCAUGUAUUAUACAGGUAUAUUACGAGUACUUACUAACUAAGGUAAUAUGUAUUAAUCAUUAAUAAAACAUCUUAUCGUUAUUUCAAAUAAAUUUCCUAAUACUAGUUUGAAAUAUGUUUUAAAGUAAAAUAGUACAUGUGUCCCAUAAUCAAUAAGUUUUGAUUAUUAAUCAAAUUUACCAUAUUAUCAGUAAGAAUUACUAUUUAUGUAUAAAAACUUACUAUUACUUGAAUUAAACUUACUCUCUAAAAAGUAAGUUUGGGAUAUAAAGUAGUAAUUUAUUUAUUUAAAAAGUAAGUUUAAUAUUUAUUCAAAUUUACUUUUUGAAGUAUAAAAGUUACUAAUUUAUUACUGUUAACUUACUAUUUUAGAUGAAAAACUUACUUUCUUAUUUUUAAGUGUUAUUCUAUUUAGAUGGAUAGAUCCAUCAAGUAAUCAAAUGGUCGCUAAAAGUGCAACAACCUGUUAUAUCAGGUAAAAAAUUAUUUCGUUACCAUAAUUAUCGUUACUAAAACAUUGUACUCGUGUCAUAAUCAUCGAGCUUUACAUGAAUUGUUCAUCAAAAUUGGUCUCCCAACUUUGAUCUUAUCAUCUCAUUCUACCAUUUAAUGCGACAGCGAAGAAAGUGAAACUAUACCAUAAAUCUGCCCGAAUACCAUCAAAUAAAUAGCCUACAUGAAUGUGUUAUGUACUAUAAUCUUUUUCCUACUGCAGCUUGAUGAAAAUGGGAAAUAGUUUUACCCUUCAACUCGUAUAGACACUGAACAUACACAAUUUUUUUUUUUUUACUGCAGUUUCUACAUUGAUCUCCUUUUUCUAAUAUUAAGUAACACGAUGAAUUAAUCUCUUAAACUUCCAAAUUGCGGUAAUUACAGACAGAUGUUUGCCAACUUACAACUACAGCUUUGCCAAAUUUCUCAAGACAAAGAAAAAUAUUUUUAAGUAGGCAUCUAUGUGCAAUGUAGGUAUGAAACCAGAGAAUUCUAGUAGGGUUAAUUAGAAAAAUCCAGAACUAUUCAGGCGAUUCAUAGAAUUAUACUUAUUAAAACAUGUCCUAAUAAUUAUAGUGGAAGCAAUUUAAAAAAAAUUAAUGUUGGGAACAAAUUAAGCUAAAUAAAAUAAUCAUUAUCUUUGUCAUACCUAACAAUUUCAUUCAAAAAUAAUUAUUGUCUUUUUCAUACUUAACAAUUUCAAGCUAAUUAAAUCACAGGUGUUUUUCUAAAGAAAAAAAGAUAGCAAGACAAAAUUGUAUAGUUUAGCUUAUUAAACAUCCGGUUUUAGAUAUUUAUCAAACAUUAUAGAUAGAUUUAUUAUUAAGAUUCAGAUAUUCAUAUAUUUCUUUUUAUUAGUUAAAAUUUAGCAAAUUAAUUGUUUCAAUAUUCAGUUUCAGAAUUCAGAUUCAAUUUUAUCAAAUAGGACCUUAGUGUGAACUCUUAAUUGUAAUUGAAUUUGAUAUUUUAAAAUUGACAUUUAAUACAAACUUUUAUGUUUAACUAAAUUUGAUUUUUUCAAAGCCACAAUUAAUACAAAAUCUCAAAUUUAACUAAAUUUGAUUUCUUGUCAAUCACAUUUAGUACAAGACAAAGACAAAGAAACGGUAAAAUGGGAUUUAUAUUACUUACUCGAAAUGAACUUUUUUUGUUUUAAGAAAAAUACAAAGAAAUUAAUGUUAAAAGAUUAACUCCUUUUCAUAAAUUUUUGUCAAAAAGUACAUAGGGAAAUGGAUGGAUUGGGUGAUUCGAAGAAGGACGUGUAAGUGAGAGAUUUUGGUUUUAAGCUUCCCACUUACGCUAUUAAAAUAUAUAAAUUCAAAGUGUAUGUAAUUAGACUAAUUUUUGGGGAUUAUUUAUUCUAACAUGGUCGACAUUAUUGAUGAAAUAUGGCAUCAGCAGAACCUAACACUUUGGAAUUCAUCUGUCCCAGAAUUUCAAAUGGUAACAUUUUUCCUUAAAAUUGGAAUAUUUAUUUUAGGGAGGUAAGAGCAUCCGGUGGAAUUGAAAUAUGAAUUUAGCUAACGGGUGUGCAAUUGGCCCACGUUGAAAUAUCAGCUUGGCUAACCGGUGUUCUAAUGGCCUUCACUAAGUGGGGCGUUAGGCAUUAAUUUUUGAAAAAAUGUAAUUAAUUUGAAAAAUUAUAUAAAUUCAGGGGAUAUAAUAAUUGUGAUUGUGUGAAUUUAUAUGGUAAGUUAGAUGUAAUUUAGGUACAUUAACAAAUAUCCACCUAGAUGGGAACCUUCACAAAAAUCCCAAGGCAUUGUUGUUUUGAGAGAAGGGCAGGGAAAGGAAAGCAAACGGAAAUGGAGGGAUAAAGUUUUUAAAUUUUGGAUUAGUUUUUGAGGAGAGAAAGAAAAGGAUUUGGAGGGAAAGGGAGGGAUAAAAUUAGUUAUUUUUUAUCAACCUGUUUCAUGUCCAAAUGUGGGCAAAACAAAGGGAAACGACACCAAAUUAAUGAAAAUUUCAAAAUGUUCUAAAAACCUAUCAUGUAUUUAUAAAUUAAAUUUUAAAUUAUGGAAAAAAAUAUAAUUGAUGCAUGAUAGUUUUCUUUCCUUUCCUCUCGUAAUCCAAACAAAAUAGACAGACUUAGAUUUCUUCUACUCCCCUUUCUUUUCUUUUCCACUAGAGUCUUCUCCUUUCCUUUCCUUUCUUUCAAUCCAAACGGUGCCUAAAAGAAAAUACAAGAUGGUGCGACUAAAAGUUCAUACCAUUCCUAUGGACUGUCAAUUGCAUCAAAACACGAACUUUGUCUAUAUAAUGUGCACACUUUGUGACUGAUUUCUGUCGAGUGCUUAGCCCAUGAUUGUUAGUGUUGCUUGUUGGAUAGUUUACUCUCAGUAAAAUACUUUGAGAUUUUAGGCCAUAGUAUAUACUUAUGGCUUAUAAGGUGCAUUACUAAGACAAAAAAUACCAAUCAGCAACAACGGUAAUAUUGGGUUUAAAUGAUACAAUACACUAGGAUAAUGUGCAUUUUACCGACUUCAUGAAUGUGAAGAACUAAAUAUUAUGUAUUAAUUAUUUGUUUUUUUUUCCGGAUAUAUUUGGCUUCAAUUAGCGCUCAAACUCGAGAUCUCACAAGUAGACAAAGAAACCAUAUUUUUUAGGUAUGGUUUCUCUUUAUUGCUAGAGUUGGUAUCAAAUGUACUUAGGAGACUGAGAUACCUUAAACAACCUUAAGCCAGGGCUAUGAGCUAUAAAACAAGAAGAGGAUGAACUACUAGAAGAAGAAUAUGGGCAUAGUAGGGCUGUCAAAUAAAUUGAGUUGCUCGCAAAUAGUUUGAGUCAAAACUCGAUUCAAGUUAGGUCAACAUCGAACUCGAAUCGAGUUCGAGUUAACUGAGUUGAACUUGAGAUCAAAGAUACUUAACUCGUUAGUUCGCAAAUCGACUCGAUUUUAUAUAUUUAUAUUUAUAUUUUUUAUUUUAAUAGUAAAAUUACAUAUAUCCUUAAUAUUUUAUUAUUUGUUAAGAAACAUUACUAUUUUAUUCAUUUUUAAAAAUAUAAAAUAAUUAUUUUUUAUUUUUUUAAACUCAAGCUUGAGCCCUACAAUAAGAACUCGUUGAUUUUGAGUAGGGGUGGCAAUUCGGGUCCAAAUCAGGUUGGCGGGUCGGGUUCGGGUCAACCCGCCAGAAAAUCUGUUGACCCGAACCCGACCCGCCAAACCGUAACGGGUCAGGUAUGCUGACCCGAACCCGAAAAUUUCAGGUUGACGGGUUGACCCGAAAUGACCCGAAACUUAAUUUUAAUUUAUUAAUUUAUCACUGUAAUUUCUAAUAAAAUCAAUUUCUCACAAAACUAAUUACAUAAUCAAGUAAUAAAAAUUUAAAUAAGUAAUUUCAAACCAAAUCUAAAAUAAAUUAAACACCGUAAAAGUGUUUUAUCCCAAACAAAAUAUAAAAUAAAUUAAAACAGUAUAAAAGUAAAAAAUAAUAUAAUAUAUUAUUUGUCCAAAUAUAAUAAUUUCAACUUCACACAAAUUAAAUAAAGUCAUUUAUGAUUAAGUAAUUAAUGCCUUUGAAAAAAAGAAUAACUUAGGUUAGUUAGAUAAAAUUAUAUUUAUAUUUAUUAAAUUAUUUUUAAUUUGUAAACGGGUCAUAUCGGGUCAUAUCGGGUCACCACGGGUUGACCCGAAAUCGACCUGUUUUCUUUUCGGAUUCAUCGGGUCCAACCCGAUUCUGACCCGAAUUCCCAAAACCUCAACCCAAACCCAUUAAUUUCGUGUUAGGUUCGUGUCGUGUUUUCAGGUCGUGUCGAAAAUUGCCACCCCUAAUUUUGAGUUUGAUAAAAUUAAAUCAAAACUCAACUCAAUUAAACAAAAAUUUGACUUGACUCAACUCGUUUACAAACCUAGAUAUAGAGUUACAAUAGUGACAGGUUGUCGAUGCCUGUGCAAUAAUAAAACCUGCUCAAACUAAAAGUAAUUUCUGUAGAUAACGGUAAGCAGGGUCGAAUCCACAGGGACUGGGAGUAAUUGUUCCUUUUCAAAUUCACAGUGACAAAGGGGAGUGUUUUUAUAUCAGGGGUGACAACUCAACUAAAAGUAAAAUAAUAAAAAUAAAAUAGCCAACUAGAAAUUAAAAAAACACAAUUUACUAAAAUCAAAGGAUCUAGCCAAGGAAUAACUUCAGCAAUGGUUCACCUAAUUGAUCAUUGAUAAGCAAAGGCAAUUCCAAUUAUUUACUAAUAAAUAGGUUAUAACUGCCAAACAAGCGAUGGCAGUCAGCCCCUCCUUACUGUGUCGGUGAUCAAGGUACGCUCGUUAAUCACUUCUUUAAUUGGAAGAACAAUCCUAGGUACGCCCAUAAGAUUUAAUUUCCCAAUUGCCUUACGUAUUAGAGGAGCCCUAUUCUAAUCAAAUAACGCACUACCAGGGUUAUUUCAGAUUAGCCCGCGUAUCCCCCUGACACGAAUCUAAUCGUGCCAGUUGUCACUAUUUCAAGACAAUUAAACAAUUACGAAUUUAAUGUCCUAAUUGACAGUAGAUUAUCCAAUCAAUUAACCAUCCGGAUCCAAGACAAUCAACUAAUUAAAUGACCAUAAGCAUAGCAAUCAAGGAAUAUGCGAAUACUAAUAAAUAAAAGAAAAAAAUUAAAUUAAAUCGAUCUUACAAUUUGUAGGCGAGCCAGAGCCUUCGUUAUUUCUUGACUAGAAUGAGGAAAUUAGUUCAUAUUUGAUGAACUGAGUCCACACAACAUUGAAGAGAAGCCAGCGGCCAUGGUCCGUUGAAAUUUAGCAGAAUCCAACUCGUCUCAAUAUAUUGAAUGAAUAGAAAAGCUACAAAAGUUCAUAGUUUUCACUCCGUCUGGCGCACAACAAUGAAGAAAAGACUACUAAAAGCAACUAAGGAAGAAAAGUCCAAGCCAUGAAUGGCUAAACUCCUGACAUUCGUAAGUCCCAAGAGCUACUAAGAAGCCAAAGAAAAGUCAAAGGCAGCAAGUCUUCAUUGUUCCUGCCAUGCGUUUCCGUUCUUUGGUCAAAAGUCUAAAAAGGAAGAAGAAAUCUAAUUCUAAGCUAGAAGCUGCUGCCCCUUCUUCUGCACCAUUUUCUCUUAUAUCCUCCUGUUCCGUGCGGCGGCUCCAGGGAGAAGAACACUUUUGGCACAAUGACCGAAAAGGGCUCAUGUCCCUACUUCCCAAAAAUGCCCUUUCGAGCCUUCUAUUUAAUUAAUUUCCCGAUGAUUGUCAAAUUGGCCUUAAUUGUAGUAUUUUCAUUCUACUCCCUGAAAUAAAUGUAAAUUACGAAAAGUGAGUAGAAUCCAAUAAUUAAUUCACAUCGGGUCAGGUAAUAGAAAAAAUUAAUAAUAAAAUAAAUGAUAAAAUUGCACCCUAUCAAAUAGCUCUAUGAAUUACCGUAAGACAUAGAGAAUAGAGAGAUUGGUACAUAUCCUCUUAAUAGUUAAUUCCCCUCGAGGCAACUCUGGUAUGAUUGAGCUAAAGCUCAUUGUGCCUAGCAAAGGGGGUGUAAGUACAAUGUUUUACUCUUUUUUCCCCUUUUUUUUUUUCUUUUCUUCAAAAGAGGAUUAAUACUGGUUCAAUUUACAUGGGUUCAAAUACAAUGUUUUACUUGUUCAAAUGGUUCUGCAAAAUUUAUUUUUCAAAACCAAUUAUGGCAAUCCAAGCUUUACUAGUUUUGGGCCCUAGAUUCAUUUUUCUCAGUUACGUAGACCACUGAACAGAACUCUUUUUUUUUCCCUAUUAUUUCAUUUUUCUUUUGUGUGAAAUUUUGACCACGAAAUAUAACUAGAAGCAUCUGGACCUGUCCAUAUUAAACACAUCUAUAGGAUGGAUUACUGAAUAAAAACGAGCUUACGUAUUUUGCUAAUGUGCCUUCUCUACAAAGUGGCACAAUUCAAAGGAAUUCUUACGCAGGUAGACAAACUAAAUUAAAAAAGAAAAAUUGAAAAGGGAGAUAUACCACCUUUUUAUUAAUUUUUUUAAUUUGGUAAGUCUUUUCUUUUUGAAAGGUUAGUUUGGUAAAUCAACUCAAGUAAUGAAGUAACAAAAGUAUAAGCUUUAGGGGUUAUAUAUUGAAAUCAGCAAAUUUACUGAAGAAAAAUAGGUCCUUGUGAGUACGAAGCAACCACUUGCUUCAGAAUCACAAUAAAAUCACAAAUAUUCAUUACUCACAAAUAAUAUUUAUUUCUGUUGUUCAACCUUUACAAACAUUGCUUGUGAAACUAACAAGCAUUAGCUUUAUAAUGACAUAGCACUUAAUAGCACACAUUUAUUCGUGCAUCCAUUUUAGAAGACACCAUAGCAACUUCAAACACGCUAAAUACUUAGAAGAUAUGUCUCUCUCUCUCUCUCUCUCUCUCUCUCUCUCUCUCUCUCUAUAUAUAUAUAUAUAUAGAUGGUUCAAGCAUUUUUGAUGUGAUGAGAUUCAAUGUCUUCAACCAUGUGAAGGAAAAAGUUGAGCAAGGUUCCUGGAUGUGGGGUAUCUUCCUUCAGCUUCUCAUAGUCGAGAGUCCAUGUAAUCAAACUUUCUUUGUCACCAAGAACAUCAACAUGGUAUAUGAUAGUGAAGGUCUUGUACAGCUCCAUGAGAUCUCCUUCAAUCAUCUUAAAUACGAUUGAUUUCUUUUCUUCAUUUAUGUCUUGAAUAAUCUGCUUUGCCACCCUAUCUUUCCCGUCUGUAAAAAUGAAAAGUAAAUCAAUUACAGACUCUCCAAUUCCUAGUCAACAUGCUGGUAAUCCAAAAACAAGGUUUGCGGAAUUCUUUCUUUUCGGUUUUUAGGGAUAGACAAUACUAUUCACACAACCAGGGAAGAAUUCUCGUUGUGAAACAUCUGGUAUAUCGCAUAAAAAACUUGAGAAAAGCAAAAGAAAAAAAAUUCUGUAGUAUUAAUUAAUUGAAUUCUUUACGAAGAUGGACUUCCUUAAUUAACCUCUGUAGUUUCCACAAUCAGAUUAUUGUCUUCGUAUAAAUACUAAUAAUAAUAUUAAUAAUACGGUUAAUAGUAAUAGAUCUAGUCCGUUUUUCAUUAAAACUUUUCCCGAGGCAGAUAUUAAGCUUUUAUCCUUUCUUUUUCCUGGCAAAUAAGUUAGAUAACUAAUUGUGUGCCAGUUCAAAGCAGGGAAAAACGGAUGGAGAGAGUUUAAAUCAACUUAGUCCAGAAGCUGACCAACACGCAACAAAAGCUAAAUGAAUAAAGGAAAAACAAGAAAAACUGCGGGGAAGAAAGAGCUUUGAAUAUUGAUUCC
rnacentral:lncRNA from 1 species